UGUGGGAGCGGGCUUGCUCGCGAAUGCGGUGUGUCAGUUGAUGCAUUCGGUACUGAUCCACCGCAUUCGCGAGCAAGCCCGCUCCCACA
rnacentral:misc_RNA from 1 species